GUCGCCACGAAGCAAACUCCGGGCUCUCGCGUGCACCUUACGCGCAUGAUAGUUAGGCGGCCGGCGCUUGCUCGCUUGGUGUCCAAGGGUGACGUCGUUGCCUCUCUACCAAAUCGAGGACAGGAGACCACCCAUCGCUCAGACCGCGUUGGUUUCUUCUCUUCUCGCUGCUUCUCCCAAUCCCUCGCAUCCUCCAUCCCUCCGCUAGAGCCUCACCUUGAUGCCCCGGUGAGUCUCCCCACCCCAACCUCCAGAGGGACUGCUCGGAUCAGAGAUGGUGCCACCCUGAGGUUGGCGCCAUCCCAAUCGGCCUCAUCAUCCUCACCUGUGAACGCGGCCGUAGUUCUUGGGGAGCCCAAGCGCGCCGCCGUGCGCCUUCUCCCUCCCUCCCUCCCUCUGAUUGCACGAUCCCAUCCGAUAUUUGAUUCCUAGUUGGCUAGGUCGAUGGAGCUCCAGCGCCAUCCCCAUUUGCUGGGCUGAUGUUAUUAUUUUACCCCACCUCCCCUUCUUUAUCUCUCUCAUUCUUCAGGUAUUAGGGUUCCAACACAUUUAGCUAGGCGUAUUUAAAUUGAUUGCCUUAAACUUUACAGAUACUUCAUGUUUCCUUUGAUCGAUUUGCAUUAUCGCGUUAGUCAUAUAUUAACUGCCUAUGCAUCCUAUGAUUUACACUUCAGAUUUUUCCUUCGUGUUACAAAAUAUAUCUAUGCCUUCUGAAUGGAGCCUGAAAAUAUGCCUAAAUGUUGUCAUCUUGGUUGCUUUUUAGCAUAUAGCUCAUUUUUUUAAAGAUGGUAGGAGCACAGCUAUAGCUCUGUUUCUUCAUGAGAUGUGUUUUGUUUUUUGUUUCUUACACGUUGUGCAGUGCAUGUGGAUCAACAUGUGGACAUGUUAGUGCUUGCAGAAAUGGAUUAUUUGCUGAGGCAAUGUUCCUGGACAUGGUCAAAUGAAACACACGACUGAACUCUAUUUUGAUGUUAAAAUGUUCAGUUUGAUGUCAUUGGAAAGGUUGGAAUUCUAAAUGAUGUGGUCUUGCUAGUUUCCGUAGUUUGGUAGGGCUAAAAUUCCUCAUAGAUUGGUGAUUGAAGUGUUAUGAUUAUUAUUUUAUGUUAAGCCAAUAUUGCAUAUUAGCAUUUAAUAAUUAAAGAUUGUGAAUCUGAUACAGAUUUGCAACUUUAACUUUGGUUACAUCAAUGUGCAGGUACGAGGCAAGGAGAUGUAUAGAACUGAAAGCUACUUCCUUUUCAUAUUUGCCAUAAGAUUCCUUUUCAUAUUUGCCAUAAGAUUUUGCCGAUGCGGUAACAUAAUUUAGAUGUGCCACAGAUUGCCUGCUAGAUUUGAAUGUACAAUCCAUUUUAUUUUUCUUUCUUUCCUAUGCAGGAACUCAUUUUUUAUUGCAUGGCUUCUUCCAAAAUUCAAGGUUAGUUCUCUCUGUAUAUACAUCAAUAUUUCCAUUCUGUCACUUUAUGUUUACUUUCCCUUCCUGCAAUGUCACUUAAUGAUAUUUGCCCGAUGUCACGGAAUGAUAUUUGCCCACUAUUUUUGAGUAGUUAUGUUACCGACGGUAGCUUAUUUAAGAAUAUAUAAAGUUCGUAUUAUAAAUAUGUGGCUCUUGAACAUCUCAUGCACCUUCCCGUAUCUAUUAAGACGCAUAUUUCUAACUUGUGUUUUUAUUAAAUUGCAUCGCUGAUUCUACUCUUUUUUCUAUAUUUGGCUGUCACAAAGAGUAAAUGCGACCCACACAUACCUGAAGUCCAUGCAGUUUUGUGAGAUACCAAAUUUGACCAGUUUUGGUCUAGAUGUAACUGCUUCUGGCACAACUGGCCUAUCAAUGCAACAUGAUAACAUUCAGGAUCCACCAUAUCUUGCUUUAGUCACAUGAGAGCCUAGGGUUGAGUGCUUGCAAAGACGUGGUCAUAUCUUCAAUGCCUUUUCACAUGACAGGUGAUAUGUUUACUGGUUAUAAUGGAUUCAACUGAAAUGCUCUAAGAUAGAGAUCAUGAUGCUAGCGCCAUAAUUUUCACAUUCAGUAAUUAUCAUUUUUUAAUGCACUUGGCAAUGUCAUCAUUAUGAUUUUAAGAGACAAAGUGCUUAUGGCCUAUUGACAACUGAUUUUAUUUCCAGUGGCUUCCUCCUGCACUUAUGCCUUAGACCUUUAAUAUAAUUGUCGGUGGCAGAUAGGUACCUGCAUUACAAAUAUUACCAAUCAUUUUCUCCCCUGCACCACUCAAAUAUCAAAUACUUUUCUAUAGUUCAAAAGAGUUGGGUUACAAAAUUGUGCCAGUAAGGUAUAUGCACAUUCCUUCUGCUUGAUCUUGAGUUUCUUCAUUACAAGUUGGUGUUGCCACUAUGUUACUAUGUGAUUGAAGCAGCCUAUCAUUCCAAAAUACAGAAAACACAGGGGCAAAUUUUCCAUUGCUGAAAUAAGUUUAUCUCCAUUGUUGAAUUUGAUGUUGGGGGUUUGACAUUAGCAUACUACAAUAAAGUUCAUCUAACAAUAGUUUGAUCAUUGCUUAUUUGAUUCAGUUGCAUUAGCGUGUAUAUUACAAGUUUACAUGUGCAUUGUUGCAAGUUCAUCAAAGGUAAUUCAUGAUCCGAUGUAUCACUCGGACAAAUUUAAAUGACUUAUUAUUUUUUAGAUUGUUAUAUAUUUUCAGAAUAUAUUUGUAGUUAGUUUAGUUGACUUCGUUGCUACUACAAAAUCUAAUAAUUCCUACUUAGAAUAUCUCAUGAAAGUCUCACAUUUACUGCAGAUUUUUUCUCUCUCUAUAUGCUGUGUUGGUUGCUGAUUGGAGGCAAAAAGUUUCUGCUUCGAGAUAGUUUGUCACAUGUACCUUUUUUCAUGCUUCAUAUCAAAUUACUUAUGUACGAAUGUACGGGAAAAUAAUCAUUUGCAGUUUUCCCCUAUUAGAUAUAGCCAUCUAUUAAAUUUGACGGAACUGUAAACGUACCUUCUAUAUAUGAACAAAGAACUACCACAUUUAUUUUCAGUAGUACAAAUUAGAUUUGUCUGUUGAUCAUGGCAGUCUACUUACUGUGCAGACCAUACACCCCUUUCAUGUGGGCGUGGCGUUAGCGCGCCAAUAUUCCUAGUUUUAUUAUCUCAAAGGGAGAAUCAUGGUUGAUGUGGGCAUUUUUAUCUCUAGGGAAACAUGCUUUAUUCUAACAUGGUUUGACUUCUUUUGUUUUUGUUUUUUUUUAAACCAAGAAGCAGGAGGUCCGCCCAAUAACUAAGAACAGGAGAGAUACGCGAAAUGACACAGCAGGGGGCAAGGGAAAAGAAUAAAACAAAAAUUACAGGCCCGAAAGCACGAAUAUGAUAAUAAUAACAAGUAUUCUAUGAGAGAAGCCGAAAGCAAAUAAGCAGAAAGAAAACAAGCACAACAAGCUCGCUCCGACUGUCAUUUCUAGCUCGAAAGCCAACUUGCUUACUUGCGGUUGAUCAAUAAUUCUCCUUCAUUUUUCUGCGCCAUUUGGAGGUCUGAUUUAUUUCCUAGGAGAUAAAUUCCACGAGUCAUUCUAUAUUUGUGGAACUGUAGUGACCAAGUGAUCUUUGUGCAUUCACUUGCCGGUUGCAAAUAAAGAAGCGACGGUUGUGUUUCAGGAGAUGAUA